AUUGACCCCUGCUGGGCUGGACUUGAGGUUCACGGCCACAUGGUUCCCUGUGCAGCGCCCCGUGGGUCCCAGCAGACACAGCACCAUAAUGGGAGACUUCUAGGCCGAGAGGGCAAAAGCUUCAAACAGCAGGCGGCAGCACCAGCUGUGUGGUGGCUGGGAGCUGGUCUAGCCUCCGCCUUCCUUCCAGAAGUCUCCCCAGCAUCCUCAACCAGGGCAGGAGCUGUGUUGCAGCGGUGCCUGUUGCAUGUGGAAGUCUCCCUUCAAGGUUUGCAUCAUGGAACUCACCUGGCCCAACCUCUCAGGGAGGAAAAUUCCAACCAGAGAGGGAAAUUUCCCAGUGGCUCCAGCCUCGGGAUCCUGCAACCUGAACACCUACUGGCUUCUUGGGGUCAUCCACCUUCUGCACCGAGAGGUUCUCAAGAGGCCGCUCCUGUACUCUGGGAUGCCUUCUCCUGUCUGCCUGCCCAAAUCCUCGCUGACCUUCAAGUUCCAGCGUCGGGAAGUGCCUGGCCGCAUUUCUUAAAGGUUUUACAAGGAUAGACAUCAUUUCCUCCAAAAGAACACAGAGGGAAUGUUGAGCGCUCCCUUUCCCUACUUCUCCUUCUCAUGAUUAAGCAGGCAUUGUGGCUGUUGAGAUUAAAGCCCCAUGCGGAGAUGCAGGGCACCAGGCUAGAUGGAGCCCAGGUCCCCAGGCAGCGGUGUGGAGAAGACUCAUCAUGUUCACCUGGCCCACCUAUCCAUUUGGACUUUUCAAUAAGAAAUAAAUCAGUUUUGA
rnacentral:lncRNA from 1 species